UGGCGUGUAGCUCAAUUGGUGGAGCGGCGCACUGUUAAUGCGCGGGUUGCUGGUUCGAGUCCAGCCACGCCAG
rnacentral:tRNA from 1 species